rnacentral:rRNA from 1 species
GACGAACGCUGGCGGCGUGCCUAAUACAUGCAAGUUGAGCGAUGAAGAUUGGUGCUUGCACCAAUUUGAAGAGCAGCGAACGGGUGAGUAACGCGUGGGGAAUCUGCCUUUGAGCGGGGGACAACAUUUGGAAACGAAUGCUAAUACCGCAUAACAACUUUAAACAUAAGUUUUAAGUUUGAAAGAUGCAAUUGCAUCACUCAAAGAUGAUCCCGCGUUGUAUUAGCUAGUUGGUGAGGUAAAGGCUCACCAAGGCGAUGAUACAUAGCCGACCUGAGAGGGGGAUCGGCCACAUUGGGACUGAGACACGGCCCAAACUCCUAGGGGAGGAAGCAGUAGGGAAUCUUCGGCAAUGGAAGAAAGUCUGACCGAGCACCGCCGGGUGAGGGAAAAGGGUUUUGGGAUCGUAAAACUCUGUUGGGAGAGAAGAACGUUGGUGGGAGGGGAAAGCCAAUCAAGGGAGGGAAACCACCCAGAAAGGGACGGCUAACUACGG